UAAAAAUUUUUGUAGUUUGAAAAAUUUAUUUAAAGUUUAUUUUACAUAUAAAUUUUAGUGUUAAUAUUUAUUUAUUUAAAUAAUAAAUUUUUAUUUUUGUUAGUAAUUAAUAUUAAAAUAUUUAAGAAAUUAAUAUUUAGUAAUAUUUAAAUUAAUAACUAAUUUUGUGCCAGCAGUUGCGGUUAAACAAAGAUUAAAUUAAAUUUUAUUAGUAAAUUAAUUAAUAAAAUAAUAAAAUAAUAUAAAUUUUAAAUUAUUAGGUGAAAUUUUAAUUUAAUAAAAAAUUAUUUAUUUUUAUGAUUUAAUAAAUUUUUUUUAAAAACUAGGAUUAGAUACCCUAUUAUUAAAAUUUUAAAUUUAAAUACUAAAAUAGUAGUUAAUUAUUUAUUGAAACUUAAACAAUUUGGCGGUAUUUUAGUUCAUUUAGAGGAAUCUGUUUAAUAAUUGAUAAUCCACGAAUAAAUUUACUUAAUUUUUAAUUUUGUAUAUCGUUGUUAAAAAAAUAUUUUUUAAUAAAAGUAAUAUUUAAAAAUUAUAAAUAAAAUUAAAUCAGAUCAAGAUGCAGAUUAUAAUUAAGAAUAUAAUGGAUUACAAUAAAUUUAUUUAAGUGAAUAUUAAUUUGGAAAAAUUAAUUGAAAUUGGAUUUAAAUGUAAUUUUAUUUAAUUUAAUAAAAUGAUUUUAAAUUGAAAUAUGUACAUAUUGCCCGUCGCUUUCAUAUAUUUAUAAGUUGAAAUAAGUCGUAACAAAGUAGAGGUACUGGAAAGUGUUUCUAGAAAGAA
rnacentral:ncRNA from 1 species